UAAAAUGCGCCCCCUUUUCUUGUCUUGAAAGUGGUGGGGGUUCCCCUGCCUCUCCAGUGCAUAGAAACCACCUCUCCACCCCUCAUUUCUUUGGAUAAGGAACUGAGAUCCCAUUGGCUUGUUUACCCCCAGGUACUUUUUUGGCAUUGGUCUACCACAUAGGAUGUCCAUUUUUGUUCAUUCUGUGUGCUUCGGGAAUAGCUCAUGUGCUGCAACCAACUUUGGUGACAAUCCUGUGUUUUAUACAUCAAUUAAAUCUCUGCAGGUCCAUUUGCUACACAGUAGCUGUGUGAAUGUGUCUCCUUUUUGAAGGCCUUUGCUUCCUUCUGCUUAAGAAUAAAGGGAAGGAAAUGAACAUUCACAGAACACCUAGGGCUCCCCUGGUGGCUCAGUGAUAAAGAAUCUGCCUGCCAGUGCAGGAGACACAGGUUGGAUCCCUGGUCUAGGAAGACCCCACAUGUUGUGGAGCAGCUAAGCCUGUGAGCCACAGCUACCGAGCCUGUGCUCUAGAGCCCAUACCUUGCAACUAGAGAAAGCCCACCCGCAGCAACGAAGACCCAGCAAAGCCACGCAUAAAAUAUUUUUCAAAAAGAAUACCGCACUGUUGAAUCUAAUCCCAACAAACCUGUUAUGUAGUUAGUUUCAGCUCCAUUUCUGUGAGUGAGAAAACCAGGGCCUGAAGUCCUGGAGUUGAACUCCUGGAGUUUAAAUGCCUGAAGCUCCCUACAAGCACGGAGCCUCACACCUCGUGGCUGUGUCCUCAGAGCACUCUGCCCUUUGGAGUAGUGCUGGGGGCACUUAGCCCCCAGCUGAGUUCUCCCUCAUCAUGCCCCAGCUCCACCUACCAGCCGGAGACUCACCAUGCCACUUCCCAGGGGCUACUCGACCCUGUUUCUUCACGCAAAGGUGAGCUCUCUGAAGUUCUAAGCUGGCAAAGUCAGGUGGGUUUUUUUCCUGCUCCAGUGGUGUGAAUAGCCUGUGUGGUCUUGGAUUUGUAGCAGCAAAAUUGCCAGAAGAACCAGCUGAGAAAUUUGCAUUUCAUGGACUUGCAAAAGAAGACCAACGUAAAGACAAACAUACAAAGGUACCUAGCCUUUUGAGUCUGAGCCGCUCUGAGGAUGGGAGGGAGAAAGGUGCUGAGAGGAGCCUGCAGAUGACUUGUUCAGCCCACUCGGAUCUCACCGUGGAGGAGGUGGCCCAAAAGAGAUUCCGGGAGAGGCCAGAAGUACAGUCGGUGCAGCAGAGGAGUAUUGCUGCCACUGCCCAGAAGAUAUGGAUUCCAGGAGGAAGGACAGAGCCCUGAUUGGUUCUCUCACCCUCAUCCUACAAAUACAGUUACCCUCCCCUUUCUGAAGUCAUCAGCUGCUGUUCCCCAACACUUCGCCUGCAUAGGUGUGGGUGAAGCAGAGACGGCUUUUGUGGAGAUGUCCUUAAUCUGAGUUAUGGAAGGAAAGUUUCUAUGGGGGGUCAAGUUCCUCCUCAUCUUCUGCAUAGGUUAAGAUGGUGCUAGCUGUUGUAAAGGUAAGCUCUGAGAUCUCAGUGACUUAACACAAGUCAGUUGUCUUGUUCAUAG
rnacentral:lncRNA from 1 species